rnacentral:rRNA from 1 species
GGUGAACGCUGGCGGCGUGCCUAAUACAUGCAAGUCGAGCGAACAGACGAGGAGCUUGCUCCUCUGACGUUAGCGGCGGACGGGUGAGUAACACGUGGAUAACCUACCUAUAAGACUGGGAUAACUUCGGGAAACCGGAGCUAAUACCGGAUAACAUGUUGAACCGCAUGGUUCAACAGUGAAAGACGGUCUUGCUGUCACUUAUAGAUGGAUCCGCGCCGCAUUAGCUAGUUGGUAAGGUAACGGCUUACCAAGGCAACGAUGCGUAGCCGACCUGAGAGGGUGAUCGGCCACACUGGAACUGAGACACGGUCCAGACUCCUACGGGAGGCAGCAGUAGGGAAUCUUCCGCAAUGGGCGAAAGCCUGACGGAGCAACGCCGCGUGAGUGAAGAAGGUCUUCGGAUCGUAAAACGCUGUUAUUAGGGAAGAACAAAUGUGUAAGUAACUAUGCACGUCUUGACGGUACCUAAUCAGAAAGCACGGCUAACUACGUG